rnacentral:rRNA from 1 species
UACGUAGGUGACCAGCGUUGUCCGGAUUUACUGGGCGUAAAGAGCGCGCAGGCGGUCGUUCAAGUCGAGUGUGAAAGCCCCCGGCUCAACUGGGGAGGGUCACUCGAUACUGAUCGACUUGAAGGCAGGAGAGGGAAGCGGAAUUCAUGGUGUAGCAGUGAAAUGCGUAGAGAUCAUGAGGAAGACCAGUGGCGAAGGCGGGUCUCUGGACAGUUCCUGACACUGAGACACGAAGGCCAGGGGAGCAAACGGG